rnacentral:rRNA from 1 species
UACGUAGGUGGCAAGCGUUGUUCGGAAUUAUUGGGCGUAAAGAGCUCGUAGGCGGCCUGUUGCGUCCGCUGUGAAAGCCCGGGGCUUAACCCCGGGUCGGCAGUGGAUACGGGCAGGCUAGAGGUAGGCAGGGGAGAAUGGAAUUCCCGGUGUAGUGGUGAAAUGCGUAGAUAUCGGGAGGAACACCAGUGGCGAAGGCGACUUCCUGGCCUGUUCUUGACGCUGAGGCGCGAAAGCUAGGGGAGCAAACGGG